rnacentral:rRNA from 1 species
AGUGAACGCUGGCGGCAGGCCUAAUACAUGCAAGUCGAACGGCAGCACAGCAGAGCUUGCUCUGUGGGUGGCGAGUGGCGGACGGGUGAGGAAUACAUGGGAAUCUGCCCAGUCGUGGGGGAUAACGUAUGGAAACGUACGCUAAUACCGCAUGCGCCCUACGGGGGAAAGUCGGGGACCGCAAGGCCUGGCGCGAUUGGAUGAGCCCAUGUUCGAUUAGCUAGUUGGCGGGGUAAAGGCCCACCAAGGCGACGAUCGAUAGCUGGUCUGAGAGGAUGAUCAGCCACACUGGAACUGAGACACGGUCCAGACUCCUACGGGGAGGCAGCAGUAGGGAAUAUUGGACAAUGGGGGCAACCCUGAUCCAGCCAUGCCGCGUGAGUGAAGAAGGCCCUCGGGUUGUAAAGCUCUUUUGUCCGGAAAGAAAAGCAUCUGGUUAAUACCCGGGUGUUCUGACGGUACCGGAAGAAUAAGCACCGGCUAACUUCGUGCC